rnacentral:rRNA from 1 species
UACAGAGGGGGCAAGCGUUAUUCGGAAUUAUUGGGCGUAAAGGGCGCGUAGGCGGCUUGGCAAGUGGAUGGUGAAAUCCCUCGGCUUAACCGAGGAACUGCCGUCCAAGCUGCUUCGCUUGAGACCGGGAGAGGUGAGUGGAAUUCCCAGUGUAGCGGUGAAAUGCGUAGAUAUUGGGAGGAACACCAGUGGCGAAGGCGGCUCACUGGACCGGUACUGACGCUGAUGCGCGAAAGCGUGGGGAGCAAACGGG